rfam:Arabis alpina cultivar Pajares Aa.chr2_contig_2429, whole genome shotgun sequence.
AAACCAUGUUGUGGGCAAUCUCUUAGAUACUCCUUGUAGCGCUCCAAGGUUCAUGAUAUGGUUCAAUAGGACCUUGCUGGAACUCCGUGAUCUUCCUCCUUAGGAU